GAUGAACGCUGGCGGCGUGCUUAACACAUGCAAGUCGAACGGGGAUGCAGGGAACGGAGCGAAUAGCUUGCUAUGAGCGAAGUACCUUGUAUCUUAGUGGCGGACGGGUGAGUAACGCGUGGGUAACCUGCCAUAUACAGGGGGAUAACAGCGAGAAAUUGCUGCUAAAACCGCAUAAGCGCACGGAGCCGCAUGACUCAGUGUGAAAAACUCCGGUGGUAUAUGAUGGACCCGCGUCUGAUUAGCCAGUUGGCAGGGUAACGGCCUACCAAAGCGACGAUCAGUAGCCGGCCUGAGAGGGUGGACGGCCACAUUGGGACUGAGACACGGCCCAA
rnacentral:rRNA from 1 species